ACUUUUAAAGGAUAGAAGUAAUCCUCUGGCCUUAGGCGCCACAGACCUU
rnacentral:tRNA from 1 species